AGAUUGAACGCUGGCGGCAGGCCUAACACAUGCAAGUCGAGCGGCAGCACGGGUACUUGUACCUGGUGGCGAGCGGCGGACGGGUGAGUAAUGCCUAGGAAUCUGCCUGGUAGUGGGGGGAUAACGCUCGGAAACGGACGCUAAUACCGCAUACGUCCUACGGGAGAAAGCAGGGGACCUUCGGGCCUUGCGCUAUCAGAUGAGCCUAGGUCGGAUUAGCUAGUUGGUGAGGUAAUGGCUCACCAAGGCGACGAUCCGUAACUGGUCUGAGAGGAUGAUCAGUCACACUGGAACUGAGACACGGUCCAGACUCCUACGGGAGCAGCAGUGGGGAAUAGUUGGAACUAAGUGGGACGAAAGCCCUGAAUCCAGCCCUAUGGCCGCGUGUGGUGAAAGGAGGUCCUUCGGAUUAGUAAAG
rnacentral:rRNA from 1 species